GAGGCUUCCUUCCUGAGGUCAAUUAGGAACGUGGAGUGAACCAUGGGGACGGGGAAGCAGCCCAACCUCUUCCAUUCUCUAAUCUGAAGUUCGAAGGGCUGCCUGCCGCAGUUUCAUCACAUGGGCAAACCGGGAGCCUGGCCAAUGCUUUGGUCCAAUUUCAUCAGGGUAGAGUGAGAAUGUGGAGCAGAUAUAAUGUCAUUGGAAUCUCUAUCAACAUCCACAAAACAGUCAGGCCACAUCAGCAAGUGGGUUGGCACUCCCUCAAGAACACUUCUGAAGGCUUCCAACUGGUAUGGGGAUUGAUACUGUCACAGUAGCCCCAAUCUGGCCAUCAUUUCAAGUUCUUGUAGCUGUGCUGGCAGUACAUUUGUGUUAGACAAUGAAAAACCACAAAAACAAUGAGAACGUAAUUAUAGAAAUAAGAUUAAUAAACCUAUG